rnacentral:snoRNA from 1 species
ACGACCUUACUUGAACAGGAUCUGUUCUAUAGGUUGUACAUCUGUGUCCUUGAGUUCUAAGGAGACAAGAACCAAAGUCUGGUGGAUGAAUUCUCAUGCCUUGAGGCUAGAGCGUGAUUAACAGUUCAACAGACCUUCGUCUGGCGGCUGUAGAGGAUCGUUCUUGGCAGGCUUCAACCUGCUGGGAUGGCCACAAGGCGGCCUGACAGACC